AGGGUUUUCUUGAACUUUCUUUAUUUCUCCUCUACAGCUUUCUGUCCUAUUUUCCCUCUUUAACUCCACUUUUUUGCUCCAUUUUGUAAAGAGUUUUGUUUAAACUUUGUUGCGGGUGAUCUACCGGACGGCCGUAUGUUGCAUGUACAGAAUUCCUAUGUUGAAUCCUCUUCGUCAUUCCUAUGAUCUGAUUUUCCUUAUUAUUGGAACCUGUUGGACGUAGCUUUCUAAAAACUGAUUUCGUAGCUGAUAUUUCGUUGCAUACAUAAUAAAAGAAAGGAUGAAGAGUGCAUAUUUGAAUUGGUACCGUAUGUUGGUUUAGGAAUCUGGUGGCGUUGAUAUUAUCCAAAUAAUCUUGGUUUGAUCAUAUUGGGCAACAAGAGCCUUGAUAAUCUGUUCAUAUACAAGAUCCAGACAAAGCCAGAGAGUUGAGAGAAACACACACACACACACAAAGAUGAAGAAGAAGAAUAAGGUAGGAAGAUUACAAGGUAUGGAAUCAAACCGUUCCAAUAGAGAUCUCAUCACCGAUGCUCCUCAUAAGGUACUAUCCCUAAAAUUAUUGUGGAUCAACUACUGAUACAGAAUCACGUUACUCAUAGAGGCUAUAUUGCUCGAGGUCAUGAAAUUUGUCCACAACUAAUCAAUAUCGAGGUCAGCUACCUUCAAGUGACUAACAGGGAUAUUCGAUUGUAUUAUGGUAUAGAUCAUGCACAAAUAUCAUAGACAAAUUUUCUCCUGCUAGACUUCUGUUUAACUAUUUUUCCUCUUCAUUCUCUUCUUAAGUUAGAACACAUUCUUACUCUCAUUUUUUGAUGAAUUCCUUUUAUUCUAUGUCAUUGUACGAAUUAAUUUCUUAUAUAUCUUCAUUUACUACGUGAAAAAUUUAUGAAGAAGUUGACAAAAUUAAGAGUAAAAGCCAUAAUUUGGAGAACACCCUCAAUGGCUUUGACUUAUUACUAUUAUAUUGAUUGUUACGUAUGCAUAUACCAAGCAAAAAUUAGUAAAUGAAUAUGAAAUCGGAUUAUAGAUGCUAUGAUGAGAGAUGAGAGAAGCUAAUAAGAAGUUCAAAUUUUUUUAGGCAUGAUUGAAAAACAUCAUCAAUUUUCAGUGCAUUCAUGUAUAUUUGAUUACUAAUUCACUCUUUUUUUUCCUUGUGAAGGAAAUUUACAUGAAGACACAAUUGUAGAUUUUAUAAUGUCAACAAUCGCACUGUAGAUGGUCAUUAUAUUUUUUCAUAUCAUUAUUUUUAUUACACACCUUUCUUGCAUGUACCAUUAAUGUGUGCAUUGUAUGAACUCUUAUCAUUUCUCAUUAAACUUCCUUUGUGGAGAGGGAGAUUACUUAGUAAAUGCAGUGAGAAUGAUAACAUUGUGUCACACUGUGUAUAUCUAGGAGUCACAAAAUUGCAGAUGUACACUGAUAAGUAUCUGUACUUACUGAUUUUUGAUUAUUUUUUUCUGCAUUUGUCUCUUUUAUUAUAUAUGUAUAAUGUUUGAAGCUUUGCAUACAUGCAUCUCCAACUUCCUAGAUUGACUGAUAUUUAUAUGUUUUUCUCAGGUACCUCGACCUAUUUCUAUGCCAUGAUUUCUUGAAAUACGAAAGAUUGGCUACAAAGUUUCGGACUCCAACUGAAACACCUUACCAUUAUUAAAAUAGGAUAUGCUUAUGAUCUAAAUGAAGACUCAAAACAUUUGUUACAUUUUUGGUGUAUUAUGUCUAUUACAACUACGCUUGUAGACAAGUAGACGGGGAUUCCUUAUUGCAUUUUCAUAUCAUCCAGAGGCGUUGCUCUUAAAUUUA